rnacentral:rRNA from 1 species
AGCGAACGCUGGCGGCAGGCUUAACACAUGCAAGUCGAACGCCCCGCAAGGGGAGUGGCAGACGGGUGAGUAACACGUGGGAACGUACCCUUUGGUUCGGAAUAACUUGGGGAAACUCAAGCUAACACCGGAUAAGCCCUUACGGGGAAAGGUUUACUGCCGAAGGAUCGGCCCGCGUCUGAUUAGCUAGUUGGUGAGGUAACGGCUCACCAAGGCGACGAUCAGUAGCUGGUCUGAGAGGAUGAUCAGCCACACUGGGACUGAGACACGGCCCAGACUCCUACGGGAGGCAGCAGUGGGGAAUAUUGGACAAUGGGGGCAACCCUGAUCCAGCCAUGCCGCGUGAGUGAUGAAGGCCUUAGGGUUGUAAAGCUCUUUUACCCGGGACGAUAAUGACUGUACCGGGAGAAUAAGCCCCGGCUAACUUCGUGCCAGCAGCCGCCGCUG